rfam:Triticum urartu cultivar G1812 contig767833, whole genome shotgun sequence.
GUGGUACUCCCUCCGUCUGAAAAAGCUUGUCCCUCAAAUGGAUGUAUCUGGCACCAAAUUAGUGCUAGAUACAUCCAUUUGAGGGACAAGCUUGGGACGAGCUUUUUCGGACGGAGGGAGUAACUG